CCUACGGGAGGCAUCAGUAAGGRAUWUUGNGCAAUGGGCGAAAGCCUGACGCAGCAACGCCGCGUGGAGGAUGACGGCCUUCGGGUUGUAAACUCCUUUUGAGGCUGACGAGGAAGGACGGUAAGCCUCAAANAAGUCACGGCUAACUNCGUGCCAGCAGCCGCGGUAAU
rnacentral:rRNA from 1 species